rnacentral:rRNA from 1 species
GAUUAACGCUGGCGGCAUGCCUAAUACAUGCAAAUCGAACGAAGCCUUUUGGCUUAGUGGUGAACGGGUGAGUAACACGUAUCCAAUCUACCCUUAAGUUUGGGAUAACUAGUCGAAAGAUGUGCUAAUACCGCGUAAGACCACAGCACCGCAUGGUGCAGGGGUCAAAGGAGCAAUCCGGUUUGAGAUGAGCUCGCGUCCGAUUAGCUAGUUGGUGAGAUAACGGCCCACCAAGGCGACGAUCGGUAGCCGACCUGAGAGGGUGAUCGGCCACAUUGGGACUGAGAAACGGUCCAG